rnacentral:tRNA from 2 species
AGGGGCGUCGCCAAGCGGUUAAGGCACCAGGUUUUGAUCCUGGCAUGCGAAGGUUCGAAUCCUUCCGCCCCUGCCA